rnacentral:rRNA from 1 species
AUGCUUCCUCGGAAUAUCGGUGUUGAUGUCGAGUAUACCAGGGAAGACAAACCUCCGCAAAUUGCUGCAGUUCUGCAGUUAUGCGUGGAGGAUCUCGUCCUGGUAUACCACAUCACCGCGGCAACCAAAUGGCCCAAGGAACUCCGCCCGCUCCUGCAGGAGAAGAAGCUGUACACCUUUGUUGGCUUCUCCAUUGGAGGCGACAAGGAGAAGCUGAAGUUGUCUGGUUUAGAGAUCAACCCCGACAAGUACGUCGACUUGCAGCGCAAAUGGAGAGUUCCAAACAAUGGAAAGAAGUGGCAGUCUUUGGCUGAGUUUGCAGGCAGCCUCAUCCACCCAUCCUACAAGGAAAUGAAGCAGAAGAUUGACAGGAAAUCGGACCACCUACUAUGGGGGGGCAGCCCACUGCCAAACAAGCUCAUCGAGUACGCCGCAAAAGAUGCGUACGUCACCUACGAGGCAUGGAAGAAAAUCGAAAUCACCAAAGAAGGUUUGGAGCUCUGGCAAGAGGUGGAGGAUCAUUGGGAUGACCCCUACUACUGGGGAUAUUGA